UACGGAGGAUGCGAGCGUUAUCCGGAUUUAUUGGGUUUAAAGGGUGCGUAGGCGGAUUUUUAAGUCAGCGGUAAAAUGUCCGGGCUCAACCCGGGCCGGCCGUUGAAACUGGGGAUCUUGAGUGGGCGAGAAGUAUGCGGAAUGCGUGGUGUAGCGGUGAAAUGCAUAGAUAUCACGCAGAACUCCGAUUGCGAAGGCAGCAUACCGGCGCCCGACUGACGCUGAAGCACGAAGGCGUGGGUAUCGAACAGG
rnacentral:rRNA from 1 species